UUCAUCUGCCUGUCUGAGGGUGACGAGGAC
rnacentral:piRNA from 1 species